rnacentral:tRNA from 1 species
GGCCCGUUGGUGCAGAGGUAGUCACGCCGCACUUUCCAUGCGGAGACGCGGGUUCGAUUCCCGCACGGGUCA